AUACGUAGGGGGCGAGCGUUGUCCGGAAUGAUUGGGCGUAAAGGGCGCGUAGGCGGCGCGGUAAGUCUGGAGUGAAAGUCCUGCUUUCAAGGUGGGAAUUGCUUUGGAUACUGCCGCGCUUGAGUGCAGGAGAGGUUAUCGGGAUUCCCGGUGUAGCGGUGAAAUGCGUAGAGAUCGGGAGGAACACCAGUGGCGAAGGCGGGUAACUGGACUGCAACUGACGCUGAGGCGCGAAAGUGUGGGGAGCAAACAGGAUUAGAUACCCUGGUAGUCCACACUGUAAACGAUGAAUGCUAGGUGUAAGAGGUAUCGACCCCUUUUGUGCCGGAGUCAACACAAUAAGCAUUCCGCCUGGGGAGUACGGCCGCAAGGUUGAAACUUAAAGGAAUUGACGGGG
rnacentral:rRNA from 1 species